GCCACCUGCCAUCAAGAUUAUGUCAACACAUGUCCAGCAGGUUAAACGCACCACACAGCGUGGUAAAAUGCAGACAUGGUGUGCAGGGGGCAAAACUGGUCAUUAUCCCAGUAUGUAGCCAAAACCAUUGGUGGUUGUUGCGUGUACAACUUCCUUUGUGUGGCACCUGUAAGCCCAAGAAGCUCAUUGGCUGGGUUAUUGACCAGAAUGUCGCCGAGAAGUUGGAGCAAGCCAUGAGAGAUGUGGGAGUUGGGACGUUUUACUUAAGACAGGAGGGAAAUACGCAGGGCACCAGCACCUUCAAGUGUAUGUCUUUGUCAGAUAACACUACCUGGGAGGCCAGGUAAUCGCGUACAGAUCCGAGUGGCUGAUGUUCAAGAGAUUUGGCAGGAGUUCUCGAGGAUUAUGGACAUGCUCAAGGACCCAAUGCUCCAUUACAACGAUAAAGCAGCUGGAAUAGAUUGACUUUGAAGUGUACUUUCGUCCAGACAACAUUGUCUGUGAAAGGAUCUUUGAUGACAAGGCGUGGCAACAAAUGAAUCUGUCUUGUCUAAGCUAGACCACUUCUACAGAAGUGCAAUCAUGCCAAAAGUGUUGACUAAAGAGUCAAGCGUGAAUAAGAUACAAUUAAAACCCGAAGACCCAGCGAAAUGGUACAAAGAGUUGAAGUCCGUUUGCAACGUUGUAAAACCUACCAGUGUCAUCCAUGUACUAAAUGUUGCCACCAACAACCACAAGGCUGUAACAGAUGCGAUAAACAAACACCUGUCGUCGUUUCUCUACUGCAAUUCAACUUGAGAUACUGGAUUUACCUUUCUUCGUUCAUUCAUGAGUCAGCCAAUUCAUUCCAAAAUAAAAUGACAUGUGGCAUGUGGCCGUUGACAUUAAUCGUCUACAACCUGCCACCAGAGAUAAGGACGCUCUUCAACUUGCUUCUGCUGGUCAGCACUAUAGCAGGCAUCGUUUUUUAUUACUUUUCUCUAGUAAGUGUUACAGCACCCGCCUUAUGUAAGUUAUACGUCGCUGCCCACCGAAGUACAAUGGCGUUUUCCCUAGAAAUCGCAAGGUGGCAGUUCUUCACAGUAAAAAACAAACACAACAUCCGGGCACUGACCGUCCCAUCGUUCUCUUUUCCCGAAACUUCUUUUCGUCGAAGGGUUUGCAAAGUUUUCUUUGUCUCUCGACUUGGUGGUUUUUUCUGCUUUUCGUAGCGAUUUACUUCUGUCCUUCUGGCACAGUGGGCCCUAUAGUAAUAGGGACUGUUUAGUCUCCGUAGGUCACUUUGUGAAGUGUUAUUUUUGCACAUUUUUCACAAUUGCUGUUUUCUCUUACAGCACGCCUUUUUCAGAUUUCACGCGCUAGCUCAGGGCAAGUACUGUCUUGUCUAGCCAACGAGUUUACACUUUACUAUGAAUCCUACCACGUCGUUUGAACCUGGCAAGAUGUUUCCGCCUGUAUCUUAUCUGCAGGCGGGGAUCUCUGGCGAGACACAUCUCACUUACCAGAUGGCCGGGAGUGGGAUGUCACGCCAUACGCAAA